rnacentral:tRNA from 1 species
GCCUGGGUGGCUCAGUCGGUUGAGCAUCCGGCUUCGGCUCAGGUCGCGAUCUCACAGUUCGUGGGUUCGACCCCCGCGUCGGGCU